rnacentral:rRNA from 1 species
UACGGGGGGAGCAAGCGUUGUUCGGAUUUACUGGGCGUAAAGGGCGCGUAGGCGGCGUGGUAAGUCACUUGUGAAAUCUCCGGGCUUAACUCGGAACGGCCAAGUGAUACUGCAGUGCUAGAGUGCAGAAAGGGCAAUCGGAAUUCUUGGUGUAGCGGUGAAAUGCGUAGAUAUCAAGAGGAACACCUGAGGCGAAGGCGGGUUGCUAGGCUGACACUGACGCUGAGUGCGCGAAAGCCAGGGGAGCAAACGGG